AUUGAACGCUGGCGGCAUGCCUUACACAUGCAAGUCGAACGGCAGCACGGGUGCUUGCACCUGGUGGCGAGUGGCGAACGGGUGAGUAAUACACCGGAACGUACCUUAUCGUGGGGGAUAACGCAGCGAAAGCUGUGCUAAUACCGCAUACGCCCUGAGGGGGAAAGCGGGGGAGCGAAAGACCUCGCGCGAUUAGAGCGGCCGAUGCCUGAUUAGCUUGUGGGUGGGGUAAAAGCCCACCAAGGCGACGAUCAGUAGCUGGUCUGAGAGGACGAUCAGCCACACUGGGACUGAGACACGGCCCAGACUCCUACGGGAGGCAGCAGUGGGGAAUUUUGGACAAUGGGGGCAACCCUGAUCCAGCAAUGCCGCGUGAGUGAAGAAGGCCUUCGGGUUGUAAAGCUCUUUUGUCAGGGAAGAAACACCGGCUCUAACACAGUCCGGGAAUGACGGUACCUGAAGAAUAAGCACCGGCUAACUACGUGCCAGCCGCCGCCGUAA
rnacentral:rRNA from 1 species